rnacentral:tRNA from 1 species
GCGCCCGUAGCUCAGCUGGAUAGAGCGCUGGCCUCCGGAGCCAGAGGUCGCGCGUUCGAAUCGCGCCGGGCGUA